UCUCUGGUAGUAUAUCGGAUAGUACACCCGCCUGUCAUAAUUUCAUAGAAUGGUGGUUCGCGGGAGAGCGGGGUUCGACUCCCCGCCAGAGAG